GAUGAACGCUAGCGGCAGGCCUAACACAUGCAAGUCGAGGGGCAUCGCGGUGCAGCAAUGCACUGGCGGCGACCGGCGUACGGGUGCGUAACGCGUAUGCAACCUGCCUCAAGGUUUGGGAUAACAGCCCGAAAGGGCUGCUAAUACCGGAUAUGCCUAUGGCCUCGCAUGGGGCUAUGAGCAAAGGGGAAACCCGCCUUGAGAUGGGCCCGCGUCCCAUCAGCUAGUUGGUGAGGUAACAGCUCACCAAGGCGACGACGGGUAGCCGGCCUGAGAGGGUGACCGGCCACACUGGGACUGAGACACGGCCCAGACUCCUACGGGGGGCAGCAGUGGGGGAUCUUGCACAAUGGGCGAAAGCCUGAUGCAGCGACGCCGCGUGAGCGAAGAAGGCCUUCGGGUUGUAAAGCUCUGUCUGGAGGGACGAACAAAAUGACGGUACCUCCGGAGGAAGCCACGGCUAACUACGUG
rnacentral:rRNA from 1 species